UACGUAGGCAGCGAGCGUUGUUCGGAAUUACUGGGCGUAAAGAGUGUGUAGGCGGUGCUCUAAGUUCGGUGUGAAAUCUCCCGGCUUAACUGGGAGGGUGCGCCGGAAACUGGAGUGCUCGAGCGUGGGAGAGGAAAGCGGAAUUCCUGGUGUAGCGGUGAAAUGCGUAGAUAUCAGGAGGAACACCUGCGGUGUAGACAGCUUUCUGGACCAUUGCUGACGCUGAGACACGAAAGCGUGGGUAGCAAACAGG
rnacentral:rRNA from 1 species